AUUCAACGGAGAGUUUGAUCCUGGCUCAGGACGAACGCUGGCGGCGUGCCUAAUACAUGCAAGUCGAGCGGAGGAAGUUCCUUCGGGAGUGGAAUCAGCGGCGGACGGGUGAGUAACACGUGGGCAACCUGCCUGCAAGAC
rnacentral:rRNA from 1 species